CCUGACAGGAGUUAAACAAAGGAUUAUAAAGCUAAAAAAUGUAUCGGGAAAUCUUGUGAAUGCUGACUUUAAUAUAUGAGCAUGACGCUUACUUGUUAUCUGUUUUGUGGUUAUAAGCCGGUGUGCCUAAUAUCUCAGUAAUGCGUCCUAAUCUUACAGCUAAUUAUCGCUUCUUUUUUUUUUUCUUAGCAAAUUAAACGACACACAGCACCCCUCUAAGCCCAGAAUGAACUUUUCCAAGAGGGGGUGAAAGAAAAACAAAAAACAACCAACAAAAAAAAGCUUUUGUGGAGAAAGUAAUUUUGUAUGUUUCUUUCGUCCAAUCCCCUCUCUUGAUAGAAAUCCGUGCCUUACCCCAGAGUAGUCAAUUAUCAAAGCUCCCCAAGAUCAUCAAUCAUGUGAGGAGAUUGAAGUUUAGAGGAGGAGCAACGCUCCGGCCAUCGAUUGCAGUGAAGCCCUUUUUGGAGUCCGGAGCACUUUCUUUUCUUUUCUUUUCUUUUUUUUUACGCACUAAAAACAGAAGCAGGCCGUCUAUCCCCUUUAAUAUUUAGCUCCAUCAAUGCUAAUAUGGCAUCAUUUGGCUGUAUUGACAAGGGCUCUCACGUAAAGGCUCCAUUUAUGGCUCCGUGACAUUUUUUUUUUUUUUUUUUUUGAUGGUGGAAAUUAAUUAUUCACAGGUUUAGGAUUAAGGUAGACACACGCGCUCUCGGGGAGACGGGGCUGUGGCUACCGUUGGAGGGGUCAAUAAACUCUCCCAACAAACAAAAUAGACCAGGCAGAGUUGCUCAGGGGUCGAUUACAGUAAAUGGCAGGAGAUUGUGGGUUUUUGUUGUUUUUUUUUGUAAAGAAAGAUUUAAUAAAUGAAAGCGUGACAACAGUUAUGUUUGUUGGCAUAAAGGGGGGGUGGGAAGUGUAGGACUGCAGGGUUUGACAAACGGCUGUGUGGACAUUUCAACGUGCAAUACCCCGGGAAGGAGCUGCAGAGCGGUGCGCAGAGAGCCAAGGCAGCCACCGUCUCCAAGUCUCUCUCUCUCUCUCUCUCGCUCUCUCGACUUCUUUCUCUCUUUGCACUCUGUAAACACAACCAGCCCGGCAGACUCUGCUAUUGAAGACUGAUAUUUUCAUAAGCUAAAUACUAUCGUUCACAUUGAUUUGUGCUCUAACGCUUGACUUUUUUUUUUUUCUUUUUUUGGUUAAUCUCCUCCAUCCUCCUCCUCCUCCUCCUCCUUUGGACAACUACGGAGAGAAUAUGCGGCCGUGGAGCGACACCUGGCGGCCGCCGAGCUGCCGAAGAGCUCUGCAACAAAUGAGAGAAGGCCCCUGAAAAAAAAUUAAAUUAAUAAAUCCAAAAAAAAAAAAAUGAUUCAGAGAUUCGGUAAAUUUACACGAAAUCGACGCGAGAAAGUCGUGAAUUCGAGUUAAAAUUUAAAAAGCACAGAGAUCAAAUUAUUAUUUCCUGACGACGGACGUCAUUUUGAAAAUAUCAAAAUGUUGAUUUUCUUGUUUUUUUUCUCCACGAGUUUGUCUGAGUCGUUUCGUGUGAUAUUGGAUUUGUUCGUAGGCAGAUCUCUGACCUUUAAUUCGGCUGAACUUGUCUCACGGUUUGGACUUUGUGUCGCGCAAAUUAGCAAAAUUAAAAAUAGAAGAAAAAUGUGGCCUUCACUGCCUUUGGUUUUUCUUUUAAUUGCGUGUGCAAGAAUUAUUUCUAAAUUUGCGAAUUCGGGUGAUUUUCUUCAAUUUAAUUUUGGAUCAAAUUCGGCCUUCGUGUAAAUCCAAAUCAGAUCGAUUAAAUAAUAAUAAUAAUAAUAAUAAUAAGUAACUAACACGCAGUUUUAAUAUCCAAUCACUGAUAUUCGUAUUAACAUUUUAAUACUCACACAGCUCGGGUGAUUCUUUUUAUUAUCUGAUACUAAACGCGUUAUUGCAUGUUUGAUAUCAUGAUACCAAAUUAAAAUAAAAGAGCUGAACAGAAGCUCAGGAUAAACAUGGAAAAAGGAAUAAAAUAAACAUAUAUUCUGUUCUCUAAAAACUGCGCGUAAAAGUCCUGAACGCCACCAAAACUGAGUGUUAAUAUUGGAAAAUAACUUUCACAGAAAUUAAUUCGUUUCACGCGUUUUCCCUCCCUGUCCUUUCCCUCCAGCCUGUGAAGACGCAGAGCUCUCCUCUGGAGCUGUCUGCAGCCUCGCCUCCGCUCGGCGGUGACACACUUUGAGCGGGUCACCGCCGAGAUUAGAGCCCGUCGUUAACGCCUGUGCGGACACACCAAAUGCUGAUUUAAUGAGCUUGCAUCGGGUGUUUGUCCCAGAAUACCUGGUGCGCAAUGUGUCCAGCGCCGCGCACUGUAAUCCCCGUGUUUCCCCACCACCUCCACCUCCACCCUGCUAAACACGUGGCUUAGGGGACAGUUCUCAUUAGGACCUUGCGGGUUUCACAUGCGGGAGAUCUGUGUACGAUUUUCUCCCCACCUUUUUUUUUCCCUCUCUCCUUUUAAACUCCGAGUUUUUUAGAUUGAAACAGGUCGAAGCCCUAUAAGGCCCGUAUCCAGCCACAUUACCGCAUGUAAUUGAGAGAAGUUUAAGUGGAGGCCGGGAAAGAA